GACGAACGCUGGCGGCGUGCUUAACACAUGCAAGUCGAACGGAAAGGCCCUGCUUGCAGGGUACUCGAGUGGCGAACGGGUGAGUAACACGUGGGUGAUCUGCCCUGCACUUCGGGCUAAGCCUGGGAAACUGGGUCUAAUACCGGAUAGGAGCCAUUUUUAGUGUGAUGGUUGGAAAGUUUUUUCGGUGUAGGAUGAGCUCGCGGCCUAUCAGCUUGUUGGUGGGGUAAUGGCCUACCAAGGCGGCGACGGGUAGCCGGCCUGAGAGGGUGGACGGCCACAUUGGGACUGAGAUACGGCCCAGACUCCUACGGGAGGCAGCAGUGGGGAAUAUUGCACAAUGGGCGCAAGCCUGAUGCAGCGACGCCGCGUGGGGGAUGACGGCCUUCGGGUUGUAAACUCCUUUCGCUAGGGACGAAGCUUUUUGUGACGGUACCUAGAUAAGAAGCACCGGCUAACUACGUG
rnacentral:rRNA from 1 species